rnacentral:sRNA from 1 species
GAUGGUUUACAGAAACAGGACACCUUAUUUAAGUGCAUACACAUACAAUCAAGCCUGAUGUCAUCAAAGCUGAAGACAGAAGCUGGGGGUCUAGCAUGCACUGGUCAACACUGCUUCACCCUAUGGAAGGCUACGCAGAUGUCAUAGUGUGUGGACUACAAUUCAGUUCUAGGAUUUGCUGUUUGUGUAACUUGCUUUGCUAAUGAGAGCUGGGACAGUUGGAGCAAUCCUCUGUAGAUGAUAAAUGACAACUGUCAUAUAUUGGAAGUCGAUGGCUGCCGCUGCCUUUCUACUCGCUAGAACUUCAAACAUCUUGUGUUGCUUUUGUAUUCGCUUAUGCAAUGGAGACUAGGUACCUGAACUUACUGACCCUGUGAAGAUACACCAUGAGGAAAGCAUCACUGCCAGGGGAUCCUGACAGCCAAUGCUCCCUUCAGUGAGGAGCCGUAGGAUGGGAGAAUGAACAUGCCUUUUUCUGCCACAAACAAACCAUAAAGGGUAAGUUUACAUUCUCACUCCAUAAUAAAAACUUUUGUGUUUAUGGCUGUAUUCCCGAGUUUAGGACCAAAAUGGGUAGGAGAAAAGUCUCUGCUCACGUAGAUAAACAUUGCUCUCUAUGAAAACAGAUGGGAGCCUGGAGGUAAUUAGACACGCUGGGCCAAGUACUCAUCAUGGGGAAGAGGACCAAACAAUAUGACAACGGAGCCAGCUCUUACAGGAACAGACAGCAAGCCCUUCAGUCAGUGGCUCAUGUCUCCAUUGUGCUAAUCUGGGCCUGUUCAUAGGCUGUUACUCUGGUUUCUCUAUCUCUUCUCCAAUCUCCUCUUCUUCUACCCAAACAUAAAUACCUUGAUCUGGACAUAGCUUCCAGUCAAGUCUCAAUAUAUAUCACACCGAGAACAUACAGAACUUCUCUAGAACUCUCUAGACAUGGGACCAUUUUAUUUCCUCUGCAGGAUUGCACCUCCAUAGUGGGUACACUUCGAAUGACUUCAGUUUGCUUUCUUAGUUACUUAUGCCUUGGCAGAAAUAGAGCAACAGUUUUGGAAUCUCCAACCCACUUUAUUUUAUUCAUUUUACAAUAAGCCAAUUGUUGCUACUUGAUGAGUUAUCGGCUCCAUGAAACCUGGGGCAGGAUUGAUUUUGUUCAUGCUACCAUCAUGUAUAGCACACUGUGCCUUCAGUAGAGUUGGUAAGUAAUAGGUAAACCAAUGAAAGUAAAUGAACACAUGUGUGUAUCAGACCCCAAAGACCUCUACUGUGAUAUCCCUAUCAUAAGACAGAGUAUACCACAUUCUAUCUCAGCCACGUCUUCUUCCUGUAAUUUAUUCCUGUUCUGCCUUGCUCUUUUCUCAUUGGUAAAUUCCUUCCCUCCUGUCUUUUCUGGCCCUGUUAGAACCUACUGAUUUAACUCUAUUUAGUAGCAGAGUAUAUAAAACAUAAAAGUAUA